GUGCUUCCUUGGACAGCACAUAUACUAAAAUCAGAAUGACAGAGAAGACUAACAUGGCACUUGUGGAAGAAUUACAUAGAAAUACAUGAAGAUUACCAUAUUUUU
ensembl:snRNA U6 U6 spliceosomal RNA